UAGAUAAACUUUGCAAAUUAUAGUCAAAAGUUUAGAAGACAGUGUGUAAAUGUGAUUGACACAACGUGAGGUCGUAUUUAUUUUUAACGUGCAAAAAUUUCGGACUCCGUGUGCAAUGGCCUUUCCAUUUACAUUUAGUCAUUCGGCCAUGUAAUUAAUUUUAAUGCUUAGUAUACUUCACCUACCAAAACAGCUUGUCACAGGAACUGAAUAAUAGGCUACACAACAACUUCCGUUGUUCUAUAUCUUGAUUGGAUGGCUUAGACUUUUCACUCCGCAAUAUUUGCAUAAAGAGAACGUGGACUUUCCCUUAUUCACGUAGGACAGAACGUUUCCUGAACAAACCAAAAGCAGGUGUGCCGCUGUAUACAGAUUUACAGGAAGAGACAGAUAUCGCAAUCUGAAUAUAGGAAUACAGGAAAAGCAAUGGAAUCAUUUCCAGACUGCUGUCCACAUCUUAGUAUGCCUGUAGAAACCGAUGAGUCUAUGACCUUGUCUUCUCUCAAUCUGGCCUGGCCUGCUUGCCAGCAGUGUCAAUCACAUACCCUUAAAAACACAGGAAAAAGGGGUAGAUUCAUCCCAGAAAUGUGUGUUCCUGAUGCAAGUAGAUUGGAUUGUCU